GUGAAGGGUGUUUCUGCUCCUACUCGAGAGUCCAUUAAAAAUACUCUUGAUGUUCAUACUGGAUCUUUGUCUGAAAAAUAUCUUGGUUUGCCAUCGGACAUAGGCAGGUCAAAGGAGGGAUCUUUCAAAUAUUUGAAGGACCGUAUUUGGAAGAAGGUGCAGGGUUGGAUGGAGAAGUGUUUAUCAGGAGGAGGGGAGGAAGUACUUAUAAAGUCCGUGGCACAAUCAAUUCCAACUUACUCGAUGGCUUGCUUUAAGCUUCCGAGGGGGCUGUGUGAUCAUAUCAAUAAAAUCAUUUCCAAGUUCUGGUGGGGAUGCAAGGACGGACAGAGGAAAACAACAUGGGUCUCGUGGAAAAUGAUGACAAAACCAAAAUUCAAGGGUGGUUUGGGUUUUAGAGAUAUGGAGCUUUUUAACCUAGCCCUACUAGCACGACAAGUAUGGAGGUUAUUACAUGAUCCUGAUUCUCUAAGUGCAUGUGUGCUCAAAGCGAGGUACUUCCCAGACUGUAACCUGCUUGAUGCAACUUUAGGACCAGCGCCCUCUCAGGUUUGGCGUUCUCUUAUGGAGGGCAGAGAUGUUCUAGCGCUAGGUCUAAUCAAAAGGAUUGGAUAG
rnacentral:rRNA from 1 species